GGUGAACCUGCGGAAGGAUCAUUAUUGAAAUAAACCUGAUGGGUUGUUGCUGGCUCUCCAGGGAGCAUGUGCACGCCUGUUCAUCUUUAUAUCUCCACCUGUGCACCUUUUGUAGACCCUCCCGGGGGUCUAUGUCGCUUCAUCUACCCCAAUGUAUGUUAAUAGAAUGUGUGUGCAUAUGAAAUCUAUACAACUUUCAGCAACGGAUCUCUUGGCUCUCGCAUCGAUGAAGAACGCAGCGAAAUGCGAUAAGUAAUGUGAAUUGCAGAAUUCAGUGAAUCAUCGAAUCUUUGAACGCACCUUGCGCUCCUUGGUAUUCCGAGGAGCAUGCCUGUUUGAGUGUCAUUAAUAUAUAAUCAACCCUCUUGUUUGAGUGGCUUGGAUGUGGGGGCUUGCUGGCCUCUUAAAAGGUUCAGCUCCCCUGAAAUGCAUUAGUGGAACGACCUGUUCAUUCAUUGGUGUGAUAACUAUCUACGCUAUUGAACGUGAGGCAGUUCAGCUUUCUAACUGUUCCUUGGACAAUUCAUUGUUGU
rnacentral:rRNA from 1 species